rnacentral:tRNA from 1 species
GGCCCCGUAGCUCAACGGCAGAGCGAGUGACUCUUAAUCACCAGGUUGUAGGUUCAAAUCCUACCGGGGUCACCA